ACGGCGAGUGAAGCGGGAAGAGCUCAAAUUUGAAAUCUGGCAGUCUUCGAUUGUCCGAGUUGUAAUCUAUAGAGGCGUUUUCCGUGCCGGACCGUGUCCAAGUCUCCUGGAAAGGAGUAUCAAAGAGGGUGAUAAUCCCGUACUUAACACGACCACCGGUGCUCUGUGAUACGUCUUCUACGAGUCGAGUUGUUUGGGAAUGCAGCUCAAAAUGGGUGGUGAAUUCCAUCUAAAGCUAAAUAUUGGCGAGAGACCGAUAGCGAACAAGUACCGUGAGGGAAAGAUGAAAAGCACUUUGGAAAGAGAGUUAAACAGUACGUGAAAUUGUUGAAAGGGAAACGAUUGAAGUCAGUCGUGUUCUUUGGAUUCAGCCAGUUCUGCUGGUCUACUUCCUUUGAACGGGUCAACAUCAGUUUUGUCCGGUGGAUAAAGGUAGUAGGAAUGUGACUUCUCCGGAAGUGUUAUAGCCUAUUAUCACAUACACUGGGUGAGACUGAGGACUGCAGCUCGCCUUUAUGGCCGACCUUCGGGUACGUUCGAGCU
rnacentral:rRNA from 1 species